GGAGUUGUUUGUUUCAUCUUCUGGGGGAGCUAUGCUUCCAUUUUAUUCCUCUGAAUGCUUCAAUGCUAGCCCUGUCCUCACAAGUGCUCCACAUUUUUGGUAUUGGGUUAAGCUCCACAUUGAUGAUACAGAGAUUAUCUGCAGACUAUUUGUUGGAUUACUCCGCAGUUUCCAGAGGGUUUUUUUAAUAUGCUGUUUCUGACUGGAUGCAUGUUGCAGUACACAUUUAGAAUGUACAUUUUGCAGACCCCCUCCCACCUCAAGAUGGCUUUGAACUGGAUUUUAUUGCCUGUGUGAAAUUGCUUUUGGUUACUUUUGAACAUGAAGGGAAUUGGAAUCCACAAAACUUCAUGCAAGAAAUGUCUUUUUCUCAGAUUCAAAGGUCCUGCAAGAUUAUAUAUAUUUUAAUAACAGUUCCUUGUUAACAGUGGAUGUGCUUAUAUCUCUUUUCUCCCUUAUGCGAGCUUUAUCUUUUCUUAAUCCCAAUUGUAAAAAGAUGCUUAUUAAUUUUGGAUAGUCAUCCUUUGAUAUGUGUUGAUUCAGAAUUUCUUUAAAACAGAAUUGUAAAUAAAUAUUUGUUAGAAAAGUGAUACCUAUACAUAGGUAGGUAGGUAAAGGUUUUCCCCUGACAUGAAGUCUAGCCAUGUCCGACUCUGGGAGUUGGUGCUCAUCUUCAUGUCUAAGCCAAAGAGCCGGCGUUGUCCAUAGACACCUCCAAGGCCAUGUGGCCAACAUGACUACAUGGAGAACCGUUAUCUUCCCGCCGGAGCGGCACCUAUUAAUCUACUCAGAUUUGCAUGUUUUUGAACUGCCAGGUUGGCAGAAGCUGGAGCUAACAGCAGGAGCUCGAGGGGUGAAAAGAAAAAACUAGUUUGCGGGGAAAGGGCUGAGCACACAGACAUUGCUUCCAAGUCUACUAUCCUGUGUGUGGACUUCCCAUGGGAAACCAUUUGCUUACUGUAUGCAAAGGAAUCUUGUAGCUCCUUAGAGACUAAGAACAAAGUUAGUGGGAUAAGCAUUCCUAGACUAGAUGUACAGAUGCACCUGAGAAAGCAGACGUAGUCUAUGAAAGCUUAUGCUACCCACUUGAUUCUCUAGAUUAGUCUGUUACUGAAAAUUAGACCGCAAAAUUAUGAAUUACAAGAAGUGGCUCCAUUGAGACAUAAAGUGCAUUGAGACAUAAACUGCCUUUUUCCACUUUGCCCUAUAAUAACUACUUUUAAAUUCCCUUGGAAUGAUGCUUCACCCCACCUUGAAUUUAAGGAAAUGAUUCCCCAAAAUUACCCAUAAUCCUUUCACAAUGAACUGGAAGACUUGGGGGAGAUAUACAAUAGACUUGUAUCAAAGCCCCUGGGGUCCUCUUUCCUGUUUAACCUGAUAU
rnacentral:lncRNA from 1 species